rnacentral:lncRNA from 1 species
UGUCUAUUCUUGGUUUACUUCAUGAAACUUUUGAUAUGUGUGCUUUUGUGCUAGGGGAUUCUAUGAGCUCAAAUUGAAGGACCAUUGCCAUGUUCAUCCAAAGUGAAAGAUACCAGAUACAUUGAGGAUCUCUUAAGAGGCUUGUUUGAUGAUUGUUGAUGCUUUGUGAUUGCUUAUUCCAAAGGAUGGGAGCUACUUGGAUCAUCUAUAUGAUCUCAAGAGAGGGACUCCAUUG